rnacentral:rRNA from 1 species
UACAGAGGGGGCAAGCGUUAUUCGGAAUUAUUGGGCGUAAAGGGCGCGUAGGCGGCUUGGCGAGUGGAAGGUGAAAUCCCUCGGCUUAACCGAGGAACUGCCCUCCAAACUGCUUCGCUUGAGACCGGGAGAGGUGAGUGGAAUUCCCAGUGUAGCGGUGAAAUGCGUAGAUAUUGGGAGGAACACCAGUGGCGAAGGCGGCUCACUGGACCGGUACUGACGCUGAUGCGCGAAAGCGUGGGGAGCAAACGGG